rnacentral:rRNA from 1 species
GAUGAACGCUAGCGGGAGGCUUAACACAUGCAAGUCGAGGGGCAGCACGAUGUAGCAAUACGUUGGUGGCGACCGGCGCACGGGUGAGUAACGCGUAUGCAACCUACCCUGUACUGGGGGAUAGCCCGGAGAAAUUCGGAUUAAUACCCCAUAAUGAUAUUGAGAGGCAUCUUUUGAUAUUUAAAGUUUCGACGGUACGGGAUGGGCAUGCGUAACAUUAGCUAGUUGGUAGGGUAACGGCCUACCAAGGCAACGAUGUUUAGGGGUCCUGAGAGGGUAAUCCCCCACACUGGUACUGAGACACGGACCCGACUCCUACGGGAGGCAGCAGUGAGGAAUAUUGGUCAAUGGGCGUAAGCAUGAACCAGCCAUCCCGCGUGCAGGAAGAAGGCGCUAUGCGUUGUAAACUGCUUUUCCAGGGGAAGAAAACUUCCAUCGAGAUGGGACUUGCCGGUACCCUGGGAAUAAGCAUCGGCUAACUCCGUGCCAGCCGCCGCCGUAAUAC